rnacentral:rRNA from 1 species
AAGCCUCAAGUUAUGUGUGACUACCCCCUA